rnacentral:rRNA from 1 species
UACGUAGGCAGCAAGCGUUGUUCGGAAUUACUGGGCGUAAAGAGUGUGUAGGCGGUGCUCCAAGUCUGGUGUGAAAUCUCCCGGCUUAACUGGGAGGGUGCAUUAGAAACUGGAAUGCUAGAGGAUGGGAGAGGUAAGCGGAAUUCCGGGUGUAGCGGUGGAAUGCGUAGAGAUCCGGAAGAACACCGGUGGCGAAGGCGGCCUGCUGGGCAGUAGCUGACGCUGAGGCGCGACAGCGUGGGGAGCAAACAGG